AGUGAACGCUGGCGGCAGGCCUAACACAUGCAAGUCGAACGGAUGAAGAGAACGUGCUCGUUCAUUCGGCUGCCGACUGGCGAGCGGUUCCUAAGAAUCUGCGUAUUUAUUGUGUCGAGGGGCAUAAAGCGGGGAAAAUUACGCCAAUACCCCAUACGACCAACGGGUGGAAGCUGCGGACCUUCGGCCCUUGCGCGAUUGAAUGUGCCGAGGUCGGAUUAGCUAGUUGGCGGGGUAAAGGCCCACCAAGGCGACGAUCCGUAGCUGGUCUGAGAGGAUGAUCAGCCACACUGGAACUGAGACACGGUCCAGACUCCUACGGGAGGCAGCAGUGGGGAAUAUUGGACAAAGGGCGCAAGCCUGAUCCAGCCAUGCCGCGUGUGUGAAGAAGGUCUUCGGAUUGUAAAGCCCUUUAAGUGGGGAAGAAGAGCAGUAAGUUAAUACCCUGCUGUUCUGACGUUACCAAAAGAAUAAGCACCGGCUAACUUCGUG
rnacentral:rRNA from 1 species